CAGACCAAUGUCACAGAGGAGAAGAUCUGGACAGGACUCUUGUGCAUCUUCUUUGGCUUAGCUGUGGGGACACUCAUCUGCACACCCAUCCUUGGCUUGCUGCUGUGGCAGUGCAGAAGGAACAGAACAGGAAAAAUCACAAGUAGGAAAGUGGCAGAAGUGGAUCAGCUCAGCAGGGAAGCCCCGGUGACAGGGACUGAGGACCUGACCUAUGCCAACCUGCAGUUUGAAAAGGAGACAAAUCCUGCCUCCUCCAGCAUCAUUUACACGGAGAUCAAGCCAUCACAACAGAAGCAGAGUGGUGGGAAUGCCAGUGCAGCCAGUGCAGCAGUGGAUGUCUCCCCCAGCAGAGAGGGCAAAUGAGGGAGAAGGGAGGGUGAGCAGCCUGUACAUCUGUUGGGGUUGUUCUCCCCAAGUACUAGGUGUUAGCUCAUA